rnacentral:rRNA from 1 species
CAGCCGCCACGGUAAUACAGAGGGUGCGAGCGUUAAUCGGAUUUACUGGGCGUAAAGCGUGCGUAGGCGGCUUCUUAAGUCGGAUGUGAAAUCCCUGAGCUUAACUUAGGAAUUGCAUUCGAUACUGGGAAGCUAGAGUAUGGGAGAGGAUGGUAGAAUUCCAGGUGUAGCGGUGAAAUGCGUAGAGAUCUGGAGGAAUACCGAUGGCGAAGGCAGCCAUCUGGCCUAAUACUGACGCUGAGGUACGAAAGCAUGGGGAGCAAACAGGAUUAGAGACCCCCGUAGUCCCUGUCUCUUAUAA